rnacentral:rRNA from 1 species
AGAUGGCGACCGGCGCACGGGUGAGUAACACGUAUCUAACCUGCCGAUAACUCGGGGAUAGCCUUUCGAAAGAAAGAUUAAUACCCGAUGGUAUAAUCAGACCGCAUGGUCUUGUUAUUAAAGAAUUUCGGUUAUCGAUGGGGAUGCGUUCCAUUAGGCAGUUGGUGAGGUAACGGCUCACCAAACCUUCGAUGGAUAGGGGUUCUGAGAGGAAGGUCCCCCACAUUGGAACUGAGACACGGUCCAA